CAGCAGAAGAUUCGCGAGUCAUCCGCUUGGGGCGCAGCAGCGAAGUUAUUACUGCGGAUUCCUAUGACAGAGGUCAUUUUCACCUCAAACUGUGUUGAGUGGAGUCACCACCAAGGAGCUGUAUGCUGAGUUUGGGAUGAUUUUAGAGGACUGAGAGGUGACAUUAUUCUAUUCCACGCCUGAUGCUUUUGAGGUGACAAUCUACUAAAGCAGUUUUGUGAAGAAGCUGCCCCAUAGGCCUGUGUCACUAUGGAGAGACGUGGCUGUGCAGCUCCAGACUGGAACCACCUGGACUUGCUUGUUGCAGAGAAAAUAUUAUUUAUUACGUUCUGUUCUGCAAAAUGGACUGAUAUUGGAUUCUGCAGAACGCCAGUCUCACCCACACUUAAUAAAAUCUCAUUUACACAUUCA